UACGAAGGGGGCUAGCGUUGCUCGGAAUCACUGGGCGUAAAGCGCACGUAGGCGGACUCUUAAGUCAGGGGUGAAAUCCUGGAGCUCAACUCCAGAACUGCCUUUGGUACUGGGAGUCUUGAGUUCGGGAGAGGUGAGUGGAACUGCGAGUGUAGAGGUGAAAUUCGUAGAUAUUCGCAAGAACACCAGUGGCGAAGGCGGCUCACUGGCCCGAUACUGACGCUGAGGCACGAAAGCGUGGGGAGCAAACAGG
rnacentral:rRNA from 1 species